CACCCGAUAGCACAUGGUGUGCACCUGUGUUCCUUAAAUGUUCUGAAAAAGUCUGUAGGCAGGAGGUCCCUGUUCAAUUCGGGGUCGGGUGA